rnacentral:rRNA from 1 species
AUUGAACGCUGGCGGCAUGCUUUACACAUGCAAGUCGAACGGUAACAGGCCUUCGGGCGCUGACGAGUGGCGAACGGGUGAGUAAUGCAUCGGAACGUGCCCAGUCGUGGGGGAUAACGCAGCGAAAGCUGCGCUAAUACCGCAUACGAUCUGUGGAUGAAAGCGGGGGACCGUAAGGCCUCGCGCGAUUGGAGCGGCCGAUGUCAGAUUAGGUAGUUGGUGGGGUAAAGGCUCACCAAGCCGACGAUCUGUAGCUGGUCUGAGAGGACGACCAGCCACACUGGGACUGAGACACGGCCCAGACUCCUACGGGAGGCAGCAGUGGGGAAUUUUGGACAAUGGGGGCAACCCUGAUCCAGCAAUGCCGCGGGCAGGAAGAAGGCCUUCGGGUUGUAAACUGCUUUUGUACGGAACGAAACGGCUCUGGUUAAUACCCGGAGCUAAUGACGGUACCGUAAGAAUAAGCACCGGCUAACUACGUGCCAGCCGCCGCGGUAACAC